AGUACUCGAACAACCGCUCCCUACAAUCACGGAUGUCUAAUAGCAAGCUAAGGAAAUUCCAUGCGCUGGACCUUGACCUCACCAUCUGUCAUGGCGUCGACCUCGUGUGUCAGACACCGCCCACCAACAACGUCUCCUCCGUGCACGACGACCUCGCCGCACUGCACCACUCGGUCACCUCUGUGCACGAUCGCCAUCGCCGAUUGUUGCCCCUCACAGCGUGACAUUGGUCCUGCGAUAUCCAGGAGAUAGAGCUUGCCCCGGCACCCGUGCGGCCACGCCGAAAUCUGCACUGCCCCGGCGCUUGCGCCGCCACGUCCCCUGAACCAUCCACCUCGCGACACCGCCCGCCCCUGCUACCCAUGUGACGCUGCUGCUCCCUCCUGCCCCAAGAGCGCACAUCUCCAAGCGGCCUUUGCGGGAGGGACGACGCACCAGGCGCAUCGAGCCGGCGCAUCCCGGCAUCGCCUCCGUUCUUCGCUCCGCCUCAUCGACGCCGGUGCAGGCCUAUAUCCCACUCCUCCCCGUAGCUUCAGAGAUCUUAGAUAGAAAAAGUAUAUGGUGGCGUUGUGCCGACUGCCUGCUCUUCUCUUUCCUGGCGUAAGGGACCUCAAGAUCUGGCACCGGGAGCUUUCUUCGUCCACAUCCGUACUUUGUGUAUGGGAAAGCAAUCUUCCGGGUAGCAGCAGUUGGACUUCAUUUGUGAUUAAGGAUGAUAGCUAUCGAAGUGUGAUUGCUUUGAUUAGAGAUGGCACUGAUAUAACACGAGAGAUUAUUUCUGUAACACUUUGUCUUGGGUCUACACUUGCUAACAGAGUUGCAGACAAAACAAAGCAACGAGCCUUUGUACUGAAUGUAAACAUACUCUGCAGAUCAACACCCAUCUUUUAAUGUGAGAAUUUGCGGCUUACAUUGCUAAUAUUUGAUCCUCGAUAGCAAUGCUCUUUUCCUUCCAUGUUGGUCAUGCCAAAAAAGCAUUGAGGGCGAGUCUGCACCAAUCCACCAUGCUUGAGUCUGCACCAAUCCAUCAUGCUUGAGUCAGGGGGAUCACCUACAGUGCGAUGGCCAAACCUAUCUUGCAGGGGAAUCAUGUACCGGCAUAAUAGAUUAUCCCAGAUGAUAUUUCAUUGACAAGCCACAUAUAAAUUGAAGUCAAAUUAGGCAUAUACUAUGUUGCACAGGUUAAUCUUAUCUCAGUGUUCCCUGGAUAUUUCUUUUUUGUAGCCUCUAUUGCAGUGUGCACCGCUGCAAGAAUGAAAUUAAUUUAUUCUAUAUAAAUGCUAUAAUAAGUAUUUCAGAACAUUUUUUCUGCUGUUGGAUUUAAUAUUUUAUUCCAUUUCCGAUGGAUAAAAAUGUUUGAGGCUACUUCCAUAUUUAUCCCUUGUUUCUUACGGUCUAGCGUGUUAGAAAAUUUUUCUUUCAGAUUUGCCUGUCCUGUUUGUGCACCAGGUACAAGGUCUCGCCUUGUUGAAGGCUAGUUCCGGUUCUUUUAUUUUCAUUUUCAUUUUGUUAAUGUACAUUUUCUACCUAAUAAGGACUUGAGGUGUCUCGUGGAUUGUAGCGCAUGGGGAGCCUCACGAUUGUUGUGGUUAUUUUUUACACAAAGUCAUUGUAGCACAAGUUGUAUGUACUCCCUCCGUUUCUUUUUACUCCGCAUAUUAGAUUUGGUCAAAGUCAAAUUACACAAAGUUUGACCAAAUUUAUAUAAAAAUAUAUAAACAUCUACAAUACUAAAACUAUAUAAUAUGAAAAUAUGUUUAAUGAUGCAUCUGAUAAUAUUGAUUUCAUAUUGUGAAUGUUUAUAUUUUUUAAUAUAAAAUCAGUCAAACUCUACAAAGCUUGACUUUGGCCAAACCUUAUAUGCGGACUAAAAAGGAAUGGAGGGAGUAUAGCUCGUGAUACAUGGUGAUGCAUCUUUCCAAGGUUAAAUGUGCUUCUCAUUUAUUGAUGCUUUGACGGCUGUCUAAUUUAGUGUUUUACACUGAAGGUGCAUAACAUUAAAUAAGAUAUGAUUAGGCUUAAGAUAUAAGAAGAAUAAUGAUUAUAUACGAAACUUAAAUACACAUGGUUUAUCGCUUUUACAAAGAAUGGAGUUAUGAGAAUGGGUCAAAUAUGCCCUGCGGGACGAAAUUGACUACGCAUUUUCUAUAUGUUCAGGGUUUAGAAGUCCAUUGUGUGUGCAUGUUUGAUACGAGAUAUGUUGCUCAUAUGAAAAGAACUAUAUCUCCAAUGCUAUAUUUAGUUUAAAUUAAGAUUUGAGCUACAUUAUUGCACUCAUUCAUUUUAUUGACAUAAUUAUGGCUUAAUUAGGAUGACUGAGAAUUGUUUUUCUAUGAUUAUACGUGUGUUGCACAUGCAUACUUACUAGUAUUGAAAAAAAAUAGUUGAGUGCGGGUGGGAGAGAGAGAGUUCAGUUAGGAAAGAAAUAAAAUAAAAAAGAAAAGACAUGAUUGGUUUGGCCGGUUUGGAUUGGUUAAAAGAGUGCAGAUCUAUUUUGAAGUUUGGAAGGUAUCCACAGAGAAAAAAAGGCAAAUCUAAUCCGCCCAAAAAAAGAGAGGAAGAAUUACAAGAAAGAGUAGAGGGAGAAUAAGGAAGGAGAUUGGAACAAGGGAAAGUGGGCGUGGGUUUUUCCUAGGUCCUCACGUUGGAGAUAAAAAGUCAGUUGGUCAAUUCGGUUGUGUUUCCUAAGAAAAAAAUAACAACCCAUGCAGUUUUUUUUGGAGAGAGAGAAAGGGAAAAAAGGUUCACGUGCAAGCAUUGGGAGUAGUAGGCACGUUUGGAUUAUAAUAACAAAAAGGGUGGUUGUGUGCAGCACAACACAUAGGUCUACAGGAUAGCAAGGAACAAAAAGAGAGUACACCUUAUCUACUGUUUGUCUUUAUCAUUGCUGUUUCCACUCAACCUAUUCAGUACACCCAUUUUUAUUGCAUCCUUCUUGUGCAUCCACAUACGUCCGCAAGGUUGUUACAUGAAUCCCCCUGUGUCUUAGGCUCGUGUCUCUAGUACACUUUAGCCUGAGUCCAGCAUUCGACCACUUUGAAUGAAUUUUCAGCUUGCAUUAAUUAACGUGGUUGUAGCAUUUUUUCCAUAUAUAAAGCCAACCCAGCUCCACAUAUUUUUACACUGUGUAUACAUACGUCACCUAGCAAUCGUUUUACCAACUUUUGGAGUUAUUUGACACUACUGGUUGCCGACCACCUCCUGCUGCAUGGUAAGAACUUGUAAGACUUUGAUAUUUGCUAUACUAUGAGCGUUUUACCACCACAUCCUAGUAGUUCAUCGGAACAUUCUUUUUGGAUUUUGUUUCUUGUUUCUGCUAAUCAUGACAAGAUCCAGAGUCAAUUCGUGGGCUUCGUCAAUCGUGGGAGAUGUGCCACCACCUUCCAAAAUAGAACCACCGUCACAAGCGGUGCACACACAUCAGAAUGCGCACAAUCAGGUUGUUGUUUUCAUACCACCAUUUAGUGGUCGUUUUAGACCUGCUUUAUAUAUUGAAUGGGAGUUCGACAUAAAUAAUAUAUUCGCUUCCCAUAGUUUUACUGAACGUAAAAAAGCUAAGGCCGUGGUUGGUUCAUUGAUUGGUUAUGCUUCAGUUUGGUGGCGCGAAUAUUGUCGGUUACACCCUGAUUAUAUACCUACUACUUGGGAUGAUUUGAAACUUGCCAUGAGACAUACAUUUGGCCCCUCUUAUUAUACUCGUGACAUGAUUAAAAAUUUGCAACAGCUAAAACAAGGUAGUGACACCGUAACGAAAUGAUUUACAAACUAUCUUGUUGCAUUCCUCUUUAGAAGAAAGUAAAGAAGAUUUGAUGGAUAGAUUUUGGGGAGGAUUAAUCCGUGAUAUUCAGGAGGUAUUAAUUCAUGGCGGGUCUUAUCCUAUGGACCUUCUGUUUUGCCUUGCUUGCAAAGCUGAACAGAAAAUAAUAUGGCGUGUUGUCCAUAAGGACAAUGUUGUUCCUUCAACUACUAGGUGUACUAUGACAACCACAUCCGUUGUUGUGAGGACUACAUAACCUCCAAUAUGUGACACAUCACCUUCGAGAGUACUUGCAUCAUCCAAGUUGAUCAUAAGAGCCACAUUUCGGAUUAACCAGCGCUGAGGACAGCUUUUUUCAAGAAGGGGAGGAUGAUGAGGACAUGGCUACCAUAGUUACACACAUAUCCCCUGCUGUUUUACCUUUUGGAACAAUUGCUAGAGCUCACAUAGACCAGUUAAAUUAUCAGGUACUUUCGUUUCUUGGUAAUGUUUCUAGUGUUCAUGAGAAUAUGAUGCUGCCUGACAUACAUACAUUUGUGUUGCCAGCAAUUGAAGGGCCUAGCACGAAGAUGAAGGAUGAAAAUUGGAGCAUGAUCAAGCAUGGAGGUGAACGUGUGUGCGAAGAGAACAAGAAUAGAAGUUCUAGUGGAUAUUUUCAGACUUUGAAGCCACCAUGAUGACAUACUAGACGAUGGACAAAAUAUACAAGAUGGCCUUUCAUAAAUUUUGUCCAUAGCUUAUUAUUGGUGUUGCGCCACCUUAUUUUGGGCCAAGCCCAUGUAAUCUAUUUUUAGAAUCAGUAUUGUAUGGGGAAACGAAUUAGGAGGUGUUUUAGUCCCACCUUGCCAAGGGUGGAUAAAAUCCCCUCUCUUUCCCCUAUAAAUACAGCCCUUAAGGCAUCGUUUAGACUUGGGUUUUACUGAGUUAAAAGUUAGCCAUCGCCGCAACUUCGUGUACUUCGUUUGUGUCCAACGACCAGACCAAGACCGCUUAUGAAAGCCCA